rfam:Schistosoma curassoni strain Dakar, Senegal genome assembly, scaffold: SCTD_scaffold0010531
AUCUAGCUGAAGAGUCUUAAAUAGGAGGAAACGUGCAUCCUGGAU